ACGGGGCAGCAGGCGCGAAACCUUUACACCGCACGACAGUGCGAUAGGGGGAUCCCAAGUGCACAGGCAUAGCGCCUGUGCUUUUCGGUACCCUAAGGCGGUACCAGAAUAAGGGCUGGGCAAGACCGGUGCCAGCCGCCGCGGUAAUACCGGCAGCCCAAGUGAUGGCCGAUCUUAUUGGGCCUAAAGCGUCCGUAGCUGGCCGCGCAAGUCCAUCGGGAAAUCCACCUGCUCAACAGGUGGGCGCCCGGUAGAAACUGCGUGGCUUGGGACCGGAAGGCGCGACGGGUACGUCCGGGGUAGGAGUGAAAUCCCGUAAUCCUGGACGGACCGCCGAUGGCGAAAGCACGUCGCGAGAACGGAUCCGACAGUGAGGGACGAAAGCCAGGGUCUCGAACCGGAUUAGAUACCCCCGUAGUCC
rnacentral:rRNA from 1 species